GCUAUGCUUUGCUAGGCAUACAGACAGAUGCUCAUAGUUUGCAUUAUUAAAUAUACACACAGAGAGAUCUGUAUAUCUUGAUUUGUUAAUCUUUAAUCAUGAGCAUUGCUCAAAGUUGUUAAAUUUUAUUAAAGAUUAAUGUUGAUAGCCACAUAAUAGUCCAUCAUUACAAUUAAUUCACCAGUAUUCCACAGUUAAAUAUUGAGGUUAUUAUCACAUUUUUGUUAGUAUAAAUUACACUACAAGAAACAUCUUUGUCCUUAAAUAUUUGUCCAUAUUAUCAUCAUUUACUUUUACCGUAUUUCCAGAAAUGAACUUAAUGCAUUAAAACACAUUAAAUAUCUUGAUUGAAAUAAUUUCUAGAAAUUUUAUAACAUUUUCACUACUUUAGUGGAAAAACAGUAUCAUAAUUGAUUUUCAAUUAUUUUAUUACAAGUGGAAUUGAACAAUUUUCAGCUAUUUCUUUAUACUUUGGAUUUCUUCUGUUGUCUAUGUCUUUUGCCUGAUUUUCUAUAGAAAAAUCUCUAUUUUAUAUUGUCCUUUGCCUAAUUAGCACCAUUGUUAGUGUUUUCCCUAUUAAAUUGUAAGCAGGGGGACACACUUUCUCACUCAUGCUAGUUCCCUCUGUGCGGAUGGAGCUCCACUGCCAACCACUUCUGGCACUCUUGCCCUCAUGGUCCUUCUAGCCCUAGGGAUGAGGAAUGGCUGAUUGGUGAGUUUGGGGUAAGGAACUGAGCAUGUGCAGCUUAACUCUUUCCACAGUGUCCCUGUCCGGCUGUUAUAGAUACCAUAAGUGCUCGUCUCGUCUCAUCUGUUCUUCUUUGCUGUAAGUUUUAAAGGAACAGCUUAAUUUGGGAGGCAUAGGGCUUUCCAGGACUGCCUGGGACCCAGUGCACAGGUCUGCCUAGUUCUAAUGUUCAAAGUUAGAAAGCCCACUGUUGCCACUCACAGAGGUCACCCAAAACCCUUCCUCAGUAAUAGAAGUAAUAUUUUGCUCUCUGUCUUUCACUGUUUUGUCUCUCCAAUUGGUUCAAUCUUGGGUAGAGAAAGCAAGGUGUCAUUCAUUGGGCAUCCUAAAACUCCAAAAUCUGUUUGAAACUUGAAAAAUAUAUAUAUACAAAGCUGAAUUUGAGGGACAAAGUAACAAUAAAAGAUUGGACACUGGAGCAGAAAGUGGAGAGUUUAAAACUGCAUGGAUUUGUUUUUCCUUGACAUGUCACUGAAGUUUAUGGAAACUUUGUUCACAGGCAAGUAGUUGUUUUGUACCUCUUCACUGGGUUUAGGAAUAUUCAAGCAGGCCUCAGCAAAAGCACAGGGUGCCUUGGUCUCAGCAUAUCUCAAUUUCUCAGGCUGCUGGGCAUCUGCAGGUGCAUACUGCCAUUGCUUCACAUUGAAACCACACAGGCACCUUAGCAAAAAAAUGCAGUUUGAGGGGUGGAGGGAACCCGAGCAGGUACGGGCGGCCAUGGGGCCAUAGUAAGCGGAGGACUUGAUUACACAGGAAAGUGUUCUCAUGUCAUGCUUUUUAGAUAUUUGGGAGUUGCAUAAAUUAUUUGAAGCUUUCACUUGGGUUUUUUUUGUAUUGUUUUGCCAAUUAGAUCAAAUCUUAAAUUACAACUGUGUUCUACAGAAACUACAGAAAAAUAGUGUGGAAUCUUAGCUUGAACUUGUUAAUGUGAGGCCAAAGUAGAGAGUGGCAUAGAUUUCUCCAAAUACUGUGAUGUUUCAUGUCAUUCGGAAUUUCAUUCAUGAAAAAUAGGAAAUAGUGGAGGAGCUACGCUUGGAUAUAAGCUUAGCUUAGCUAAGCUCUUGUCCACAAAUGCUUAAAACUCUAUCCCUCAUAUAAUCUCAAGUUGGCUCUGGAUUUUUUAAUUGCAUAAGUUCUGAAAUGGCUUAAAAAUGGUGUAAGACACAAGUUGUAGCUGAAUUCACAGAAGAGUGGUUUAUUUCACCAAAAAAAUAAAAAUAAAAAUAAAUAGGGCCUUUAGUAUAGAAACAAAUGCUAACUUCUUAGGCUCAACUGAAAUAUUGCAGAACCAAGAAAAAAGGUAAUUUAAAAGGCCUGUGCUUGAAACAUUCUGCCUCUAGGAAUCAAGUUUGCUCAGAAGUCAAGGAAGACUUGACAGUGGCUUUUUAAAAAAUUGGUUCAGCCUUCAUCUCGGAACAGAAGCAGUAGAAACAUGAAAAUAAAUCAAGAAAGACAGACUAAUUAAACUGGAGGAAGAAAAAUAAUCCUCAGGGGAAAGGUUAAGCUCUGAGGAAAUGGGUUAUGUGGAUAUUAAAGGAAACAUAAGGUCUUGAAGGCCAGAAUAGAUCAAUAAUGAUGAGAAUAUAAAAUAAAUAAUAGUGUUAUAUGAUAAUAAAUUAAUAAUAAAGGAGCAUUACACCCAGGUGUUGUGAGGAUAAAAUGAAUUAACAUAUGGAAACUCCUUAGAGCAGUGCCUGUAUGUGGUAAAUGCUCUACCUGGGUCAUCUGGUGCCAUUAUUAUCAGUACUGUUAAGUUUAGAGGAGUAAAGAUACGGGCAUAAUAAGCAGAAUAAACUGUUAGACACCAGGGCAGAAAAGAGAAUAAGGAUAUGUUAGUAGAAACUCUCUCACUUUGGCCAAAAACAACAGAGAAUUAAAGCUAGUCAAGGCUUCCGACAUCCAAGAACUGAGGAGCAGUGGUACUCUGGGGAAUAGGGGCAGAGGCAUAGGUCCUCACCGGGCUCUCAGGUAUUUCUAUUCAGAAAUCUGAGGCGAUUCUCCAGCUGAAACAACGAGGGAUUGGAGGGAUCCCAUCUUUCCUGGGAGUGAGCACUUCCGGAGCCUAGAAGUCCACAAUCAAGAAGUUCAAAGGAUUGGUUCUUUCCGAGGACUGUGAGGGAAAGAUCUGUCCAGGCCUCUCGCCUUGGCUUGUGGAUGGCCGUCUUCUCCCUGUGUCUCUGCACAUCAUCUUUCCUUCCUCCCGUUGGAAUUCAGGCACAGCUGACCAGCAUUAACAUCAGCACAGAGACCUGAAGACUGAUGAAACACUUUUGUAGCCGUAAGACGCCAAAUUCCAGCCUGAUUCUAGUGUCGCAUCACUUGACAGAUCAUUGGUACACCCCCUCUUUUCUACUCCAAAGAAAUCCAUUUUGUUCCAGUUCUUAGCCCUUUUCUCAUGGCUGUGUGCUUCAGGAUAAGCCUAACUCCGAGAGUAAGUCCUAAUUAGUCAACCCCGGUGAUCUCAUUCUCCUCACCAAUGAUUGGUUAGUAUCAUAGGCAUGUGGUACAAUUCUGGCCAAUGAGACAUGAGGAUAACUAAUAACUUCCAGGAAAUAUUUCCUAACUUUUAAAAGGAAACACACAGAAAAAGUCUAUUCCUUUUCUGAAUGUGAUUGCAUUUGGCUGUG
rnacentral:lncRNA from 1 species